rnacentral:sRNA from 1 species
UAUAAAUGCGAAAUUCGACAAAACUCCAUAGAAUAAUACAAAAUUAAUUAAAGUGCAAUGUUAGAGCAAAGACAACGAGGAACGACGACGGAGCAACAACGAAGAAUGCAGAAGCAGCGGAAGCAGCAGCACUACGUAGCGAACGCAACACAACAAUAAUUAAAAGUGCAACAAUUACAACAACCAAAACAACAACAACAACCAACAUGUGAAUUGCGUUUUUUUUUUACCAAAACCAAAACAAAACCACGAAGAACAAGUGUAGCCAGAGCCUGAGAGAGAGGGAGAGUGAAAGAAGGAGAAAGCGAAAAGCGAAGAGCGCCAUAAGAAAGAGACAAAGAAAGAAAAAGCCGCCAAAAUAUUAUAGCAACAGCAACAAAAACAUAAACAACAACAACUAGCAACAAACCAACAGCAAAUAACAACAACAAAUGUAAUAUAAAUAACGGUUCAAGCAAAACCAAAAAACAAUUUCGCGCGCGCUCUUUUUCCUUCUACCCUUUGUUUCUCUCAAAGACGGACGAGGACGAACACUGACAACACACACAAACAAAAAAUACAAAAAAAAAAACAACAAAACCGCUGCUUCUACGAAUUAUAUUUUGUUCGUCAAACAUCUUUUUUGAAAACUUCAAUCGUCAUUUAAUCAUCGUCAUAAUAACCACUCCAAUAAAACUCCACUCCCCCCGCAAUAUUCCGGAAACAGCAAACAAACAAAACAACAACAAUUUGAAAAGUGGCUAGAACAAAAACA